UUCAGCAGCCCUGUGCGUGCGUUGUUUUAGUUUAUAACAUGUUAGCUCCUAGAUUGUCACUGUCGGUUUUUCUUUGUAGCUGUCAUGUUACCAAUGAAUCCCUUAAACGUUUGUAUUUGUUUAACAUGAAUCUUUUUCCCCAGUUAUCUUCUGUUCAUUGUUACUUCCCUCUACCCCUGGACUUUACCAGAAACAUAACAAUUCAGGGGCUGGUCUGGGCUCUUUAAAAAAAAAAAAAAAGUUGUGUUCAGUGACAACCACAGUGAGUACUGGUGUAUGGGUCUUCAUUAUUGGCCUUCAUUGAAUUCCCACAACUUCCUUGCCAAGUCAGAGUAUUCCUGGGUGAGGAUUCAGUUCCCUGUUGGGGGUAAGCAUUUCAGGGCCCCGGCUGCUGAAGUUCAGCCUUACAACCACCUCGAGCCAUGCUGCUCGCUCUGCAGUGUUUUGAGGUGAAAGACAUCGGGUCAGAUGACUUCAACCAUCUCUACCUGCAGGCAACCUCAGAGGAAAAAACACAUGACAGCAGGAGGAGCACUGACAUGAACUGAGGCUGUCACACAGAGAAUUUAUCAUCAGCUGAUAACUCUUAGUGACAAUUCUUGACCUGCCUAAUGUAGUUCUUGUUUUUUACAAGUAGAAGGCUGCCCAAAUUUUUGCCACAAUUAGUUUUUUUUUCUAUUUUUUUAAGCUCAUGAAAUAAAAAGUUAUAGAGCAUUAUCAUCUGAAUAAAGGCUAAUUCUG